rnacentral:ncRNA from 1 species
ACAGACUUAGUCCUAACCUUACAGUUAAUUUUUGCCAAACAUAUACAUGCAAGUAUCCGCGCCCCAGUGUAAAUGCCCUGACUUCCUUCUAGCUCAGUAGGAAACAGGAGCAGGCAUCAGGCACACCCCCCCCCCCGACGUAGCCCAAAACGCCUUGCUCAGCCACACCCCCACGGGUAUUCAGCAGUAAUUAACAUUAAGCAAUAAGUGUAAACUUGACUUAGCUAUGGCAACCCACAGGGCUGGUAAAUCUUGUGCCAGCUACCGCGGUCAUACAAGAAGCCCAAACUAACUGUCAUCCGGCGUAAAGAGUGGUACUGUAAUAUCCCUCAACUAAAACCGAAAUGCAACUAAGCUGUCAUAAGCCCAUGUUGUACCUAAGACCGCCCUCAAAACGAUUUUAGCAUUAAUGAUCAACUAAGCACCACGAAAGCCAGGGCACAAACUGGGAUUAGAUACCCCACUAUGCUUGGCCCUAAAUCUAGAUGUUCCCCCUACCAAAACAUCCGCCCGAGAACUACGAGCACAAACGCUUAAAACUCUAAGGACUUGGCGGUGCUCCAAACCCACCUAGAGGAGCCUGUUCUGUAAUCGAUAACCCACGAUGCACCCAACCCCUCCUUGCCCAAAGCAGCCUACAUACCGCCGUCCCCAGCUCACCUUCUCUGAGAGCCCAACAGUGAGCACAACAACACCCCGCUAACAAGACAGGUCAAGGUAUAGCCUAUGGAGAGGAAGAAAUGGGCUACAUUCUCUAAGAUAGAAAACUAACGAAAAGGGGCUUGAAAUAACCCCUAGAAGGAGGAUUUAGCAGUAAAGGGGGGUAAGAAUACCCCCUUAAACCCGGCCCUGGAGCACGUACAUACCGCCCGUCACCCUCUUCACAACUACUAAACGCCCGUAAUUUAACCCAAACCAAAAAAGUUAAAAGAUGAGGUAAGUCGUAACAAGGUAAGUGUACCGGAAGGUGCACUUAGCAC